GGAGAGAUGGCUGAGUGGUUGAUAGCUCCGGUCUUGAAAACCGGUNAUAUCUUUCUA
rnacentral:tRNA from 1 species